UAGAUUAUAGCUAAAAUAAGUGUUUCGUUUACACCGGAUCGAUCAUCAGUUGAUGUAAUCUAA
rnacentral:tRNA from 1 species